CUUAUCUCACAUCACAUCCCUCUCUCAUCAAUAACACUGUUCAUUGAAUGAACAUACAGACACAUCUUGCACUGGCACUCUCUCAUUCAGCACGUCGAUUCUUGCCCUAACCCCACCAUUUUCGUCUAGCCUCACUUUCGGCAGCAAAGACUGCACCAUGAUGGAAGCCUUCCCGUGUUGCAAAGCCUGACCAUCUGGGCCAACAGUGCCGUCGCACAUGGAUGCUCUGCGGCGUGGGGCAUGGAUCCCUUCUACAAGGCCAAAAGCUAUGAAAUUUCAGUAGCAAAGUCUGAAAGCACCUACAUGAUAUGAGUCGUUCUCUUUCGAAUCUCUGAAACUACCGUGCGAAUCUACCUGUUGAAGGUGAUGGUCUUCUGCCCCUUAUCUGUUGGUACAACUGCAAAUUCACGUGGGUUUAGCUUGACCGAGAAUCGAGUGGUGUAAUUUCUAACGGAGGGGUCUGUGAAUUUUGAAACCACGGAUACAUCCUUUUAUCUGUUAUACCCCCAAUUCGCCUAUAUAUUCAACGUGCUAACCGUGAGGAAACCCACGAAAUCCACCAGUUUUCGCAUCUGCAACCGUCGACCCUCUCUCCCAAAGUUUGCCCAUAAACGGCAUAGGUCCCAUUCAAGUCCCGCGACGGGGCCUCAAACAGGGUCGUAUCAGUUGGAGGAAUUUGAAGAAGAGGAUGAUGAGAGGAAGAAGUCGAUGAAGAAGCUACACUUAGAGCGACAAUCUCACGGGGUUCCAUUAAUGGAGCUUCAUCAAUUAGGAAGUUAUUUAUGAGCAUUGGGUCAAAUGGGCUUGUCAUGCUUUUCUCUUUCUCUUUGGUUUCAAUAAUGGAGAAUGAUUGCAAUGAGGUCUCCGGUUCUUUAUUUUGAUCAAGUUCAGCUGUACGAUAAUCAGUCUGAAAAUUUUGAUUUGUUUUUGCUCUUGUUCUGGUAGGUGCUGUAGUUGUUGUUGGGGUUUUUCAGUGGCAGUAAAGAUUGGCUUGUGGGUGAUA